rnacentral:rRNA from 1 species
UUUGAUCCUGGCUCAGGACGAACGCUGGCGGCGUGCCUAAUACAUGCAAGUCGAGCGGACAGAAGGGAGCUUGCUCCCGGAUGUUAGCGGCGGACGGGUGAGUAACACGUGGGUAACCUGCCUGUAAGACUGGGAUAACUCCGGGAAACCGGAGCUAAUACCGGAUAGUUCCUUGAACCGCAUGGUUCAAGGAUGAAAGACGGUUUCGGCUGUCACUUACAGAUGGACCCGCGGCGCAUUAGCUAGUUGGUGGGGUAAUGGCUCACCAAGGCGACGAUGCGUAGCCGACCUGAGAGGGUGAUCGGCCACACUGGGACUGAGACACGGCCCAGACUCCUACGGGAGGCAGCAGUAGGGAAUCUUCCGCAAUGGACGAAAGUCUGACGGAGCAACGCCGCGUGAGUGAUGAAGGUUUUCGGAUCGUAAAGCUCUGUUGUUAGGGAAGAACAAGUGCGAGAGUAACUGCUCGCACCUUGACGGUACCUAACCAGAAAGCCACGGCUAACUACGUGCCAGCAGCCGCGGUA